CGGCGCCGGCUGAGGCGGCAGGCGGGGCUCGUGCGGGCGAGCCGGCGCGUCGGCCGACUUGCCUUCCCACAUGAGCAGGUGGAGCAGGAUCGGGCGCAGGGCGUGCCGGUGCAGCGACAGCUUCUGGCUGAGCGAGACGGUGUCGAAGCACCGGAUGGCGCCCGACGUGGACACCAUCCACGGGAGGACCUUUUGCCCGGACACCCUGGAGAUCACCAGCAGCUUCGACGCGCGCUUCGCCUCCCGGUAGAGGUCGCGCAGCCCCGACCUCGUCGACGGCGCCAGGAAGCCGCUGUCGUCCUCCAUGACGGACGAGAUGUAGAUGAAUCCCUGUGUACUACCUCCUCGGUGCGGCUAAUGGCGAAGCCGAGCUUGGUGUCGCCGGCCUCGAGGGUGAUCUCCACUGGCAUCUCACCGGCGGCGGCGGUGUACCAGACGCGCACCGCCUUCACCACGCCGAUGUCCACGCCGUGGUAGUCCUCGAACCCGUAAAGGCUGGCGUUGGCGAGGUUCGGGAGGUCGGCCAGUGACCCCGAGUUGACCUUUGAUCGCUGUUGAGGAACCUUGGUGAGGAGGGCCUCGGUCUGGACGUUGAGGAAGGAGAUGGGCACACCGGACGACUGCGAGGAGAGGAUCCAGGCGUUGGCGCGGGCGAGGGUGUCCUCGACGGAGUUGUAGCGGGAGGCGGCGCGGUCGAGCGCCGUGGGGAGGACGAGCAUGGAGAGGAAGCUGCUGGAGUUAGGGAUCGGGAGCGCCUCCCUCAUCUUCUUCUCCCACGGGUAGGCCACGUAGCCG
rnacentral:sRNA from 1 species